GUGAGGAAUUUUGCGCAAUGGGGGCAACCCUGACGCAGCGACGCCGCGUGGAGGACGAAGUCUUUCGGGAUGUAAACUCCUGUCAGUGGGGACGAUAAUGACGGUACCCACAGAGGAAGCACCGGCUAACUCCGUGCCAGCAGCCGCGGUAAGACGGAGGGUGCAAGCGUUGUUCGGAAUUACUGGGCGUAAAGCGUAUGUAGGCGGCAAGUUAAGUUCAAUGUUAAAGCCCACGGCUCAACCGAGGAGAUGCAUUGAAUACUGGCUAGCUAGAGGGUGUUAGAGGAAGACGGAAUUCCCAGUGUAGCGGUGAAAUGCGUAGAUAUUGGGAGGAACAUCGGUAGCGAAAGCGGUCUUCUGGGACAUACCUGACGCUGAGGCACGAAAGCGUGGGGAUCGAACAGGAUUAGAAACCCCAGUAGUCC
rnacentral:rRNA from 1 species